UACGGAGGGUGCAAGCGUUAUCCGGAUUUAUUGGGUUUAAAGGGUCCGUAGGCGGAUCUGUAAGUCAGUGGUGAAAUCUCACAGCUUAACUGUGAAACUGCCAUUGAUACUGCAGGUCUUGAGUGUUAUUGAAGUAGCUGGAAUAAGUAGUGUAGCGGUGAAAUGCAUAGAUAUUACUUAGAACACCAAUUGCGAAGGCAGGUUACUAAGCAACAACUGACGCUGAUGGACGAAAGCGUGGGGAGCAAAAGGG
rnacentral:rRNA from 1 species